UGGGGAAUAUUGGACAAUGGGCGCAAGCCUGAUCCAGCCAUGCCGCGUGAGUGACGAAGGCCUUAGGGUUGUAAAGCUCUUUUGGCGGGGAAGAUAAUGACGGUACCCGCAGAAUAAGCUCCGGCUAACUUCGUGCCAGCAGCCGCGGUAAUACGAAGGGAGCUAGCGUUGUUCGGAAUCACUGGGCGUAAAGCGCACGUAGGCGGACUUUCAAGUCAGGGGUGAAAUCCCGGGGCUCAACCUCGGAACUGCCUUUGAUACUGUUGGUCUCGAGUCCGGAAGAGGUGAGUGGAAUUCCUAGUGUAGAGGUGAAAUUUGUAGAUAUUAGGAAGAACACCGGUGGCGAAGGCGGCUCACUGGUCCGGUACUGACGCUGAGGUGCGAAAGCGUGGGGAGCAAACA
rnacentral:rRNA from 1 species